UGGGCCCUGUGUGUUGUACGUUAAGUAUUUGUAAAUGUCGGUAUUGUUACAGGUUACAUGUUUCUUGUAUGUUUCUUGAUGUAAAGUAACACUGUCAGUAACACAUGUGAUAAUAGAUGUUUCAUGGUGACUGACCAGAACUGGGGAAAGACAAGAAGCCAGACUCAAAGGGGCGGUGACUGGUGACACAGAGGUUUGGGAGGAGUAAGGCGGGGUUUACAGGGAGCAUGACAGCUUCUUCUUCGGAUCUGGUGCAAUUUUGUUUUUCAGGGGAUAUUAUGUUCAUAGCACCUGUAUACACAAUGCCCCGAGGGUGACCAUUUAACCUUCCCUUCCUUUCGCAUCAUACCUGAAUGCCCUGUAAACCUCCUGAGAAGAGACCUCAUAUGUAAACUCAAAUUACAUAUCACUUCAUCCCAGUCCAGGUUACAUGUCACGUCUGACCUCGCACCCAUAGUCACACCUGCAGGGUACUAUCCUGCUGGACAUUAUCCUGUUAUGUCCCCGACCCAAGUCCCACCUGAGGUAGACCCCAUUGUCUGGUCACAUGGUGACCAUGAUGUAGGACAUAUUGACUGUACACCAUACAAGGCAAGACUCAAACCAGACAUCCUCCCGGUCUACCAAAAACAGUACCCCUUGUCACGGGAAAAAAAUCAAAGGUAUCCGCCCUAUGAUCAAACAUUUCCUACACACUUGAGUUUUAGAACAUACUGUCUCUCCCUACUGCACUCCAAUUAAUCCGGUCCCCAAACCCGAUGGUACUGUCUGUUUUGUACCAGACCUGAGAGCCAUCAACAGACUAAUUGUGCCUAUUGCCCCUAUAGUUCCUGAUGUCGCUCAACUGUUGUCAUCAAUCCCAGCACAGGCAACUCAUUUUUCUGUCCUCGAUCUGAAGAAUGCUUUCUUCUCGAUCCCAGUGGACAAAGAGACCAGACUCCUUUUUGCUUUUUCCUUUGAGGGACUACAGUUAACCUGGUGUAGAAUGCCCCAGGGGUAUGCUGAUUCACCAGUUGUGUUCAGCAUUGUCCUCCAAGCCUUUUUACAAUCAUGGCACGCCCCCCAGGGUUCUGUUCUCCUCCAAUAUGUUGAUGAUUUGUUAAUGUGUAGUUUCUCUGAGGAGGCCUGCCUUGAGGAUGGUGUUGUGAACAGGUUGAAUAUCUGGGUUUUGUUCUGCCAAAAGGGAAAAGGGAGUUGAGCACGUCUAGAGUCCAGUCUGUAGCGGGCCUGGUCACCCCGCACGCCCAGAAGGAAAUGCAAUCUUUCUUGGGUAUGAUAAACUACUGCAGACAGUGGAUUCCCGACUGCUCAUAGAGAUGCAACCCUAUCAGGCAAACCAGAUCUAAUCAAAUGGUCCUCAUAAAUGUACAAAGCUUUUAAUAACGAGUCCAGGGCUCGGUCUCCCAGAUUACAAUUUGCCUUUCCACAUGUAUGCACGAGACAAUUGUAAAACCAUGGCGGGUGUGCUGACACAAUUUCACGGAGGCAAACUGCAUCCUUGUGCUUUUUUCUCAAAGGUGAUGCCCGUCUCCGUACAGGGGAUGCCGGCAUGUCUGCGAGCUCUUUCUGCCUGUGCUAUGAUUGUUGAACAAGCUACCACCCUUACUUUAGGACAUGACACUACCUUGUACACUUCUCAUGAUGUUAUCUCUCUCCUUAAAGGCCUACAUACACAACACAUGUAAACACAACGGCUCUCUGGAUAUGAGGCAAUUCUCCUCAGUAAUCCAUCCUUGAAAAUGGUGUAUGCCUCCCCUACAUCUGGCCCUGCGCACUAGUUGGCCUGAAAAUUCAUGAUGAUGUGAUGCCGGACAUACAUGACUGCUUGCAAGUCAUCCACACUGACGCCUCACACAGACCCGACCUCUCUUCAGUGCCCAUACCUGAUGCUCCAGAAGUCUUUGUAGAUGGGUCAUGUACACGCCCCAAUGACAAUGUUUACCAUGCCAGUUAUGCUAUUGUCCAACUACCUGACAUUGUCCUCAAGGCCCAGUCCAUCCCCUAUAAGUCCGCACAAGCUACAGAACUCAUCGCCCUCACAAGAGCCUGUACACUUUUUGCUAAGAAACCUGUCACCAUUUACAUGCACUUACCCUACCAUCACAAUCAGUCAUCAUUCACUGCAGGACACACACACGUGGGACUGAUCACAUAUCAAAGGGCAAUGCUCUAGCAGACCACACCGCCAAACUGGCUGCUACACAACAACCUGUCUCACUGAUGUUACCAGUUCUUACACCUCCUUCACUCGUAGACACACAACUUCUUCUCUCUCUUCAGUCCUCUGUUCCCAAACAAGAGGAAUAUGAUUGGUGUUAUCCAGUAUUGCAGAAAAAUCCUGUAACAGGAUUGAUCUACAAAGAGGGGAAACCAUGCAUACCCCAACACAGUGCCACAGUUUUAUUGCUCAUUUCCACGGAGUAGGCCACAGGGAGCACCUUUGAGAAGUGGAAACAAGUCCUUCCCAUCAUACUCUCAGAAAUUAGAAUGACCCCCCUAUAAGACUUUAAAACUCUCCCCUUUUUGAGAUUCUCAUGGGUAGGCCUUUCCCGACUCCAUGGGCCCAACGACCACUUAUAACAGAAGAAGGGGACCUUGACCAGAUAAGGGAACAAUAUGUCACAGACCUCAUCCAAACCCUUGAUAAAGUAGAACAAAAUGUUGUCUGUAAUUCUCCUUCUCUCCCACAGGAACCAACACACCAGUUCCAGGAAGGCGACACUGUCCUGGUUAAGACUCUGUCGAAAGGAAAGAAGCCCGGAGACUUCACCUUUGGACCCCCAACCACAGUUGUUGCCGUGAAGAGGACGGCGGUUCUCACGGAAGACAGCCCUUCUUGGAUCCACGCCUCUCGGAUCAAACUCGUUCAACAUCACCCAAAGGAGGUAAUAACGGGGGCAGACAGCCCUGACCUUGAAAGCCUACCGAAAGAUGUACCCGCUGAUGCCCUGGCCUUGUUCUGGCAGAUGGUUGAAGAAACUAAGUCUCCUGAUGUUUGCAUUAAUGACUUUAUUGACUUUGAUUCACCCCACGGUGACUCUACAGAAUGAAUUAGAGAGACACCCAAACGAUAAGUUCCUGAAACACCAUAUAAUGUUAGCACAAAACCUCACUGCGAAGGAUUGUUGGAUAUGCACCCAUGCCCCUGUGUCUGCCCAAAGCAUGCCCUACUUUGCUAUCCCUGUGCCCUCAUAUGUAUUAUUUCAGGGAGACUGUUUUGACAUGCUUGCUGACAAGGAGACACCAUAUGCAAAGAACUGAAACACCUCAGUGGGUAUUCCUAUAGUAGGAUGGGUGGGGCAGCCAUGGUGGCAGGGAAACUUAAGCAGCCCAGGCCCAGGACCACACCAAAUGUUGGUCUUCAAAGGGGGUUCCUGGGUAACUCGAGUAGUCACACAUAUAUUAGACCUAGGAGAGAUCCCCACGGAAGGGAUAAAAGUUAGUUUUCACAGGACAUCCGCAAGUACUGAUCUUCUUAAGCCCAGCCAGAUAGAAAGGUACUUACAUGACCCAAAAUGGCCAAAUAACACCCUCUUUACUCAGGCUACUCAAGACGUAGACUGCUAUAAUAUAACAGGACACCAACCAUGCAAUGACACGUCAGAAUACCAACUUACUGAUCCAAUAUGUAAUAACCCAGAUGUGGGCUACCGCGGUAGAUUAGGGCAGAUACCUUCCUGGUGUUACUUAACAAAUGCCUCUAGACUCAUUGACAUAGUUAAUAAACUUAUCAAUCAACAUUCCUCUUUCUGGGAGCUCCCACGAGACAUCUAUUGGGUAUGUGGUAGGGAAGCCUACAAGUGGUUGCCGGUAGGGGUCAAAGGCACAUGCACCCUAGCUAGACUUACCCCCUCCACCUUUGUCAUAUCCAACGACGACAUUGACAUGAGAGCAGCUCCUAAACAUAUGUUAUACCGAAGAGCAGCAGAUAACAAAGAAAGGGAAAACGGUAGGCCACAUGUUGUACAAAUGGGAAUAACCAACAAGCUUUUUAGCACCAUUUUUAUAUAUCCAAUGGUGAUGCAAAUAUGGGAUAAGUUAGUCGAAGCCACUAACUACCUCGAUGACCAAAUAUAUGACAUUUUAGAAAUUACUAAUACCUCUGUGUCCGUGCAAAAUCAACUGAUGAUAGUGACUAACCAACACGCAAUAGUCUUGGACUAUCUCACAGCACCACCAGCUUGAGAACAUACAAAAAUUGAGGGACAAAUAUGCCAAAGACAAUGAAAUCAACAGGGAUAAGUGGUGGGGGGAUACCUUUUCAAUAUUGAAUCCCGCUACCUGGCUCAAGGGCGUAGGAGGAUGGAUAGGGGGCGUUCUGCAGCUCAUAAUACACAUUACUGUCAUUGCCCUUAUAGUAUAUGUAUCAAUAAAACUUAUUUUCUUAUGUAUGAAACGCUGCAAGCCAAGACCUGCUGCAGAUACUAAAAUCCUCCUCUCCACCUCGUCAGACACCCAAGUCCCUCUACUUCACCAUCACUUAGCAGAAGGCUAUACUGCCUACAUAAAGACUUUUCAAAAGAAAAUAGAAAACAAGAAAAACCAAGUUGUCUAAAGUGACAACUGGUUUUAAGAGGGGAUUGAAGGGUACAAGAGUCUUGAUAGAAUAAUACAGAUCUGUAAUGUUGUAUGAUGUGUAUCUUAAUUCUGUAAUCUUGUAUGAUAUAUCUUGAUUCUGCCGUUUGUAACCGCAAGGCUCGUAUCGUACUUCUCGUUUUCUCAACUGCUGAUUCCUAACUGUUGUGCACGUACAUCCUGUUCUUGUGUUCUGCUGACUUGUAACUAUUAAGCAACAUGGUAUAUAUAUAUGAACGUUGGCAAAUAGUAAAACAGAGCGUACUUAGACGG